UCCAUCCCUGUCAAAACCUUUGUGCCA
rnacentral:piRNA from 1 species